rnacentral:rRNA from 1 species
AGAGUUUGAUUCUGGCUCAGAUUGAACACUGGCGGCACGCCUAACACAUGCAAGUCGAACGGUUUGUUUUUAGUUUACUAGAAACGAAUAGUGGCGGACGGGUGAGUAACGCGUAGGUAUCUACCGCAGAGAGGGGGACAACUCGGGGAAACUCGAGCUAAUACCGCAUAAAGUCUGAGGACAAAAGGUGGCGUUAUGCUUGCAUAAGCUAUCACUUUGCGAUGAGCCUACGUCGGAUUAGCUAGUUGGUAGGGUAAAGGCCUACCAAGGCGACGAUCCGUAGCUGGUUUGAGAGAAUGAUCAGCCACACUGGGACUGAGACACGGCCCAGACUCCUACGGGAGGCAGCAGUGGGGAAUAUUGGACAAUGGGGGCAACCCUGAUCCAGCGAUGCCGCGUGUGUGAAGAAGGCCUGCGGGUUGUAAAGCACUUUAGUUAGGGAGGAGAUUGUAGAUGUGAAUAAUGUCUGCAUGAGACGUUACCUAAAGAAUAAGCACCGGCUAACUCUGUGCCAGCAGCCGCGGUAAUACAGAGGGUGCGAGCGUUAAUCGGAGUUACUGGGCGUAAAGAGUACGUAGGCGGUUAAUUAAGUCAGUUGUGAAAUCCCAGGGCUCAACCUUGGAACUGCAAUUGAAACUGAUUGACUAGAGUCGAAGAGAGGGGAGCGGAAUUUCCGGUGUAGCGGUGAAAUGCGUAGAUAUCGGAAGGAACACCAGUGGCGAAGGCGGCUCUCUGGCUUCAGACUGACGCUGAGGUACGAAAGCGUGGGUAGCGAACAGGAUUAGAUACCCUGGUAGUCCACGCUGUAAACGAUGAGUACUAGCUGUUGGAAAGCUUAGCUUUUCAGUAGCGGAGCAAACGCAUUAAGUACUCCGCCUGGGGAUUACGGCCGCAAGGCUAAAACUCAAAGAAAUUGACGGGGGCCCGCACAAGCGGUGGAGCAUGUGGUUUAAUUCGAUGCAACGCGAAAAACCUUACCUACCCUUGACAUCCUGGGAAUCUUAUAGAGAUAUGAGAGUGCCUUCGGGAAUCCAGAGACAGGUGCUGCAUGGCUGUCGUCAGCUCGUGUCGUGAGAUGUUGGGCUAAGUCCCGUAACGAGCGCAACCCUUGUGCCUAGUUGCCAGCAUUUAGUUGGGGACUCUAGGCAGACUGCCGGUGACAAACCGGAGGAAGGUGGGGAUGACGUCAAGUCCUCAUGGCCCUUAUGGGUAGGGCUACACACGUGCUACAAUGGGCAGAACAAAGGGAAGCGAAGCCGUGAGGCGUAGCGGAUCUCCUAAAACUGUUCGUAGUCCGGAUAGAAGUCUGCAACUCGACUUCUUGAAGUCGGAAUCGCUAGUAAUCGCGGAUCAGCAUGCCGCGGUGAAUACGUUCCCGGGCCUUGUACACACCGCCCGUCACACCAUGGGAGUGGGUUGUACCAGAAGUAGCUAGUCUAACCUGACUUGUUAGGAGGACGGUUACCACGGUAUGAUUCAUGACUGGGGUGAAGUCGAAACAAGGUA